rnacentral:lncRNA from 1 species
CCCUGGGAUUGGCUGCGAUGAGAUCUAACCAGUUACAUUCCACAGAAUGGGCUAGAAUGACGGACCAGGCAACAGAAGGUGGACCAUCACAAGGCUCAUCGGUCUGACCUCAGUGGAGGCCCACGCUGGACAUCACACCAAAGUAAAGCUCCUAUACAUUUCACGAACAGAAAGAUCAACAGAGUUCUUUACCUGCAGAGUGAAGGACUUAGAACAAGAACCCUUCUAAUUCUAAACAUGCAGUGAUCCCCUGAAUCUCCAUUUUAACACCCACAUCCAUUCCAGGGCUGGUUAUUAAUGAUUUGGGGGUCACGGCUUUGCUAAGGAUCAGCAGCCAGGCCACUAGAGAGCUGGAAAACAAGUGGGACCCCACUGGGGUCAGUGGUGAGAGUCUGAAGAGAUGGACACGGGGGGAGGGAAAAGCUCUCCAGACAGGUUAAGUCCUUCAGAGCAAGCGAGCAAACCUCAACAGCUCUCUCAGCUGCCUUCCGAGUGCUGUGGAGGAAACUAAAGGGCCUCUCCCAGCUCUGAUCAAAUAUUGACCGCUGCACUCGCUGGCGGGGUUCAGACUGAAGGGCACCGUGGAGCCAAUGUUUGCCGAGAAAUUACUGCAGCCCAGCACCCCGCAGGCCAGGUUGUGAAAUGACCUGCCACGGGGCAGGCUUCAGAGAGCCUUCCGGUCCUUUCUCGGCGAGACUGGGUCAUGGAGCAGACACUUGAAUGAAGGGCCUGGCCAAGGAAGCUGACGGAACGGGGAAGCGCGGGCCAGCUGCCAGAGAAGGUGGCUUAAGAGGAGGACAUCUGUGGCCCCCGCCAGCUGCCUUAACUCACCUCCAAGCAAGCCAGCCCUUUACAGCCAGACAGGCUUCAACGUUAGACCCGUCCUGGCUGGCUCCUCUGGGACAGGCCCCUCCUGCCACACACACACAGGGCUGGGUGGUGACUUGUUUUUAGAAGACCAACAAAGAGCCUCACUUCUUCCUUGUUCUCAGCUUGACACGUGAAAGGCUCUUGAGCUGACCCAGUUUCCAGAAGAGGUGUUUGGAUGAGCUGUUCAGCUGAAACGCUCUGUCAGUAGGGCCGAUCCUGCAAGAACACGGUCUCCUUCUCCUUGCUGGAGCCCCAGAAUUUUUAGGAGGUGACUUGCAGAAGGGUGGAAGGAUGCAGGGCACUCUGGGGUGGGUGUAAAGCCAGGCUGAGCUUGUGUGUCAGAGGCCCGUGGCGGCACAGUGUGACAUACCCUCUGUGAUGGCCGAAUGGCCUGUCUGCUCGGUACACACCCAAGCUAGUGACAGGGCAACUAUGACUGAGGGACUAAACACUUAACGUUUGAAAUUUAAUUUUUAAAUGUUAAAAUUAUAUGUAAACAGCCACAUGUGGCUAGUGGCUACAGCAUCGGCCCACACAACACUAAAGCCUUGGCAGGGGGUGCUUCCCCGGGGCCUGUGUAACAUGCAUGCAUUUGUCUGGGGAGAGGCGUUUGCUUUCCCUGAAACAAUCACUGGUCUCAAAAGUAAAAUUAGAUGGAAUAACUCAUCCAUCUGUUACUUCUUCAAGCAGUCUGUCCCAUCCCAGAGUGUAAGGUUUCCUCGUCACAGGUUCAUGGCACCUCUGGAAGAGCAGAACAUAUUAACUGUUUGGCUUUUUAAAAGUAGAAGCUGUAACUCCCACGAAAACAGGAACCAGAUCUGAGUUUGCUCAUUACUGUAUCCCCAGAGUCUAGCCCACUGCUCAGGACAGAGGAGGCAGACAUUUACCACUGGAUGCAUGGAAAGAAGGAUUGAAGAGAGGGAGGAGGGAAGCAGAAAUAAAUGAAUAAAUGAACUAACAAAUAAAUUAGAGACACAUUUAACCGCAAUAAUUGUGAUUCUCAAAAAACAACCAAAUCCC